rnacentral:rRNA from 1 species
GAUGAACGCUGACAGAAUGCUUAACACAUGCAAGUCUACUUGAAUUUGGGUUUUUAACUUAGGUUUGGGUGGCGGACGGGUGAGUAACGCGUAAAGAACUUGCCUCACAGCUAGGGACAACAUUUAGAAAUGAAUGCUAAUACCUAAUAUUAUGAUAAUAGGGCAUCCUAUAAUUAUGAAAGCUAUAUGCGCUGUGAGAGAGCUUUGCGUCCCAUUAGCUAGUUGGAGAGGUAACGGCUCACCAAGGCGAUGAUGGGUAGCCGGCCUGAGAGGGUGAUCGGCCACAAGGGGACUGAGACACGGCCCUUACUCCUACGGGAGGCAGCAGUGGGGAAUAUUGGACAAUGGACCGAGAGUCUGAUCCAGCAAUUCUGUGUGCACGAUGAAGUUUUUCGGAAUGUAAAGUGCUUUCAGUUGGGAAGAAAGAAAUGACGGUACCAACAGAAGAAGUGACGGCUAAAUACGUGCCAGCAGCCGCGGUAAUACGUAUGUCACGAGCGUUAUCCGGAUUUAUUGGGCGUAAAGCGCGUCUAGGUGGUUAUAUAAGUCUGAUGUGAAAAUGCAGGGCUCAACUCUGUAUUGCGUUGGAGACUGUAUAACUAGAGUACUGGAGAGGUAAGCGGAACUACAAGUGUAGAGGUGAAAUUCGUAGAUAUUUGUAGGAAUGCCGAUGGGGAAGCCAGCUUACUGGACAGAUACUGACGCUGAAGCGCGAAAGCGUGGGUAGCAAACAGG